rnacentral:rRNA from 1 species
CCUACGGGUGGCAGCAGUGAGGAAUAUUGGUCAAUGGGCGAGAGCCUGAACCAGCCAAGUCGCGUGAGGGAGUACUGCCCUAUGGGUUGUAAACCUCUUUUGUCGGGGAGCAAAAGCCGGACGUGUCCGGCUGUGAGAGUACCCGAAGAAAAAGCAUCGGCUAACUCCGUGCCAGCAGCCGCGGUAAUACGGAGGAUGCGAGCGUUAUCCGGAUUUAUUGGGUUUAAAGGUUGCGCAGGCGGAUUUUUAAGUCAGCGGUAAAAUCGUGGGGCUCAACCCCAUCCAGCCGUUGAAACUGGGGAUCUAGAGUGUGCGAGAGGUAUGCGGAAUGCGUGGUGUAGCGGUGAAAUGCAUAGAUAUCAUGCAGAACCCCGAUUGCGAAGGCAGCAUACCGGUGCACAACUGACGCUCAGGCACGAAAGCGUGGGUAUCGAACAGGAUUAGAUACCCGAGUAGUC